AGCUCCAAUAGCGUAUAUUAAAGUUGUUGCGGUUAAAAAGCUCGUAGUCCGAGCUCAGUUCCGGACUGGCCGGGGAGGUCACCUCACGGUUCCUUUCCUGCGCCAGGCUCCGAACCUAGGCCCCCGCCUGCGCGGGGGUCGCACGCCGGUGCUCGCCGGGGUGCUCUUGACCGAGUGUCCCGCGCGGCCGGCCAGUGCACCUUGAAUAAAGGAGAGUGCUCAAAGCAGGCUACUCUACUACUGUUAAGCCCGAAUGUUACCUGCAUGGAAUGCUGGAAGAUGAUCUCGGUUCCAUUUUAGUGGCUCUGGGAAUCCGAGUUAAUGAUAAACAGGGACUGUCGGGGGCAUUCGUACUACGACGCGAGAGGUGAAAUUCAGUGACCGUCGUAGGACGAACUAC
rnacentral:rRNA from 1 species